rnacentral:rRNA from 1 species
AUGCAGUCGGGCGGCAGCGGGGGUGCUUGCACCUGCCGGCGAGCGGCGAACGGGUGAGUAAUGCAUCGGAACGUACCCAUGUGGUGGGGGAUAGCCCGGCGAAAGCCGGAUUAAUACCGCAUACGCCCUGAGGGGGAAAGCGGGGGAUUCUUCGGAACCUCGUGCCAUUGGAGCGGCCGAUGUCGGAUUAGCUAGUAGGUGGGGUAAAGGCUCACCUAGGCGACGAUCCGUAGCUGGUCUGAGAGGAUGAUCAGCCAAACUGGGACUGAGACACGGCCCAGACUCCUACGGGAGGCAGCAGUGGGGAAUUUUGGACAAUGGGCGAAAGCCUGAUCCAGCCAUGCCGCGUGAGUGAAGAAGGCCUUCGGGUUGUAAAGCUCUUUCAGUUGGGAAGAAAAGGCGCGCUCUAACAUAGCGCGCUGCUGACGGUACCGACAGAAGAAGCACCGGCUAACUACGUGCCAGCAGCCGCGGUAAUACGUAGGGUGCGAGCGUUAAUCGGAAUUACUGGGCGUAAAGCGUGCGCAGGCGGUUGUGUAAGACAGGUGUGAAAUCCCCGGGCUUAACCUGGGAACUGCGCUUGUGACUGCACGGCUAGAGU